GUCGCGGCAAAAUCCGUGACCGGGCGUAGCAACCCGUGUAUGUUACUGGCGACACCAGACGCCAUAUAUAAUCGCGUCUUUUUU
rfam:Pantoea stewartii subsp. stewartii DC283 WGS_Sequence30, whole genome shotgun sequence.